rnacentral:tRNA from 1 species
GAUACUACGCCGGGCACGAACGGAUAACUCUGAUGACGUUAAUCACGGGACUAUUGUCUCUAGUAUCU